rnacentral:rRNA from 1 species
GCCAAACAGCUAGCUUAACCACUAAUAUAACCCAACAAUGUUAAUAACAAAACAUGACCUAACACCAUAAACUAAACCAUUUUUUUACCUGAGUAUGGGAGACAGAAAAG